CGGACUUACUCGUCUCGCGAAUGCACCCGAUGCUUAAUGAUCAUGGCUCAGAGUGACCGCUGGNCGUNAAGGCCUAACACAUGCAAGUCGAACGGCAGCACAGGAGAGCUUGCUCUCUGGGUGGCGAGUGGCGGACGGGUGAGUGAAUAUAUCGGAAUCUACUCUGUCGUGGGGGAUAACGUGGUGGAAACUUACGCUAAUACCGCAUACGACCUACGGGUGAAAGCAGUGGGAUCUUCGGACCUUGCGCGAUUGAAUGAGCCGAUGUCGGAUUAGCUAGUUGGCGGGGUAAAGGCCCACCAAGGCGACGAUCCGUAGCUGGUCUGAGAGGAUGAUCAGCCACACUGGAACUGAGACACGGUCCAGACUUCUACGGGAGGCAGCAGUGGGGAAUAUUGGACAAUGGGCGCAAGCCUGAUCCAGCCAUACCGCGUGGGUGAAGAAGGCCUUCGGGUUGUAAAGCCCUUUUGUUGGGAAAGAAAUCCAGCCGGCUAAUACCUGGUUGGGAUGACAGUACCCAAAGAAUAAGCACCGGCUAACUUCGUGCCAGCAGCCGCGGUAAUACGAAGGGUGCAAGCGUUACUCGGAAUUACUUGGUGCGUUAACAGCGUGCGUAGGGUGGGUUNACUUUUCNAAGGUCCCGUUGUUGAAAAAGGCCCCUUGGGGUUNCAACCUUGGGGAAACUUGCAGGUUGGNAUACUGGGAUUGACUUAGAAUGUUGGUAAGGGGUAGCCGGAAAUCCUGGUUGUAACCAGAAAUGCGUU
rnacentral:rRNA from 1 species